rnacentral:rRNA from 1 species
UACGUAGGGUGCGAGCGUUAAUCGGAAUUACUGGGCGUAAAGCGUGCGCAGGCGGUUCGUUGUGUCGGUGGUGAAAGCCCCGGGCUUAACCCUGGGAAUGGCCAUGGAAACUGGCGAACUGGAGUGUGGCAGAGGGGGGUGGAAUUCCGGCGGUGUAGCAGUGAAAUGCGUAGAGAAUGUGGAGGAACACCAAUGGCGAAGGCAGG